rnacentral:rRNA from 1 species
UACGAAGGGUGCAAGCGUUACUCGGAAUUACUGGGCGUAAAGCGUGCGUAGACGGUUUCGUAAGUCGGGUGUGAAAGCCCCGGGCUCAACCUGGGAAUUGCAUUCGAGACUGCGUAGCUAGGGUGCGGAAGAGGGAAGCGGAAUUUCCGGUGUAGCGGUGAAAUGCGUAGAUAUCGGAAGGAACAUCAGUGGCGAAAGCGGCUUCCUGGUCCAGCACCGACGUUCAGGCACGAAAGCGUGGGGAGCAAACAGGG